rnacentral:rRNA from 1 species
GAUGAACGCUGGCGGCGUGCUUAACACAUGCAAGUCGAACGGAAAGGCCCUGCUUUUGUGGGGUGCUCGAGUGGCGCACGGGUGAGUGACACGUGAGUAACCUGCCCUUGUAUUUGUGAUAACUUCAGGAAACUGGGGCUAAUACCGGAUAGGAGCUCCUGCUGCAUGGUGGGGGUUGGAAAGUUUCGGCGGUUGGGGCUGGACUCGCGGCUUAUCAGCUUGUUGGUGGAGUAGUGGCUUCCCAAGUGUGUGAGGGAUAGCCGGCCUGCGAGGGUGACCGGGCACAUUGGGACUGAGGUACGCAGCAGUCGGCAAUGGUAGGCAGCAGGCGGAAGUAUUACAGAGUGAGCGCAAGUGUGUGGCGGCAGUCCCCGGUGCGUGAUGAUGGGUUUCGGGGUAUGAACAACUGUCGCCUGUGACAUGGCCGUAUUGACGGUAAUGAAUAAAGAAGCACCGGCUAACUACGUG